rnacentral:rRNA from 1 species
GAUGAACGCUGGCGGCGUGCCUAAUACAUGCAAGUCGAGCGAACAGAUGAGGAGCUUGCUCCUCUGACGUUAGCGGCGGACGGGUGAGUAACACGUGGAUAACCUACCUAUAAGACUGGGAUAACUUCGGGAAACCGGAGCUAAUACCGGAUAAUAUAUUGAACCGCAUGGUUCAAUAGUGAAAGACGGUUUUGCUGUCACUUAUAGAUGGAUCCGCGCCGCAUUAGCUAGUUGGUAAGGUAACGGCUUACCAAGGCAACGAUGCGUAGCCGACCUGAGAGGGUGAUCGGCCACACUGGAACGGAGACGCGGUCCAGACUCCUACGGGAGGCAGCAGUAGGGAAUCUUCCGCAAUGGGCGAAAGCCUGACGGAGCAACGCCGCGUGAGUGAUGAAGGUCUUCGGAUCGUAAAACUCUGUUAUUAGGGAAGAACAAAUGUGUAAGUAACUAUGCACGUCUUGACGGUACCUAAUCAGAAAGCCACGGCUAACUACGUG